rnacentral:rRNA from 1 species
ACUCCUACGGGAGGCAGCAGUGGGAAUAUUGGACAAUGGGGCAGGCCUAGAUGCAGCCAUGCCGCGUGUGUGAAGAAGGCCUUCGGGUUGUAAAGCACUUUCAGUCGUGAGGAAGGUAGUGUAGUUAAUAGCUGCAUUAUUUGACGUUAGCGACAGAAGAAGCACCGGCUAACUCCGUGCCAGCAGCCGCGGUAAUACGGAGGGUGCGAGCGUUAAUCGGAAUUACUGGGCGUAAAGCGCAUGCAGGUGGUUUGUUAAGUCAGAUGUGAAAGCCCGGGGCUCAAGCCUCGGAAUUGCAUUU